rnacentral:misc_RNA from 1 species
ACCUCUGCAGUAAGUCAUUCUCUUGUCGUGCCGGUUAGGGCUUUUUUAAAUUCUCUUGAUUUUCCUUUUCGCCAAUUUUCUUCCAAUUACGGCAAUCGUUUGGGUAUAUUGAAGGUACUCUCUCUAGGGUUUGAAAUUAUUGAAGAAUUCACCGUGUACUAUUAGAUACUAUUUUUGCUUUGAUUAUUAGUUUUGUUGAUUUAUUGUAAUUUUGGUUUGGUGUAUGAAGUCCAAAUUAGCUUUUGUUUUUACUAUAUAAAUGUUGAUCAAUUAUACUAUGGCAAAUUAUGGUAGUUGCCCUUUCGGAUCGUAUAAGAAAGUUAUUUUUUUCGCCUCUUUUUUUUUCCUCUAUAUGGCUUCGAGGUUAUAUGGAAAUCGAUGAUUCGCGCACGAGGGGAUUAUUUUUGCGUUGUCCAUAUGAAGGUUUCUGAUCAGUAUUUUCUGUGUUAUGACAUGCUUUGUUCUCUUGAUUAUUAAGAUCCUGGUAGAUUUUGUGCUACUUGGUGACUUUGAGGUUGCUUGAUGUUCAUGUUAUGGACUUUGUUUUCUGAUUGUUGCUUUUUGAAACGCUUGCGUUAAUUGAGAAAAUAUGGAAGGGUUCUUCCGCAGUUGAUUACUUCUUCUCUUUUGCCUUGUAAAAUAUGGUCAUUUUCCAUUCAUAAUUUAUAUUUGAUAAUAAGCAUUUUUUUAUUGGUACUUCCUAGGCUGUGUUGCAUUAUGACUCAUUUAAGUUCGUUUUGUAGUUUUCCUGUGAUUACAAAAGCUGAUGAGAUUAAUAUGUUAAACAAAUUUGUUUUGGGAAUGUUUGCUGUUUUUCAGGGGUUGUACUUGUCUAAAAAUGCAAGGAGGGAGGGGCAGCAGGGAUCCGUUUUCUAAUUUUGGUGAUCCCUUUGGUGGUUUUGGGGGCUUUGGUGGGUUUGGGAGUCACCGGAGUUUGUUGUCCAAUUUUUUUGGUGGAAGGGACCCAUUUGAUGAUCCUUUCUUUACACGUCCAUUUGGAGGCAUGUUUGAGUCAAGCUUUUUUGGUUCUAGUGGUAGCCCAUUUGCUAGCAUGCAUCCAUCUGCAUUUCUUGAGCAUCAAGCUCCAGAGCCUAAAUUGUCUAGGGGUCCAAUUAUUGAAGAAUUGAACUCUGAUGAUGAAAAGGAUGAAGCUGAUAAAGACAAGAAAGAGAAUCCAAGAAAACAUGGUAGAUCAAGCAAGGGUCCGUAUGUUGAGGACCCAGAUGAUGAUGAUGCUGAAGAGAGAAAGAACAAGCACUUGCAGUAUAUAAAUGGUCGCAACAGGUACCCGGCCAUGGAGCAGCCCCAAACUCGCAGCUUUACUUUUCAGAGCUCUACUGUAACAUACGGUGGUUCCAAUGGUGCUUAUUAUACUUCAUCGAAGAGUAGGAGGACUGGGAGUGAUGGGGUGACAAUUGAAGAAAGCAAAGAAGCUGAUAGUGCUACAAGGCAAGCAGCUCACAGGAUUUCUCGGGGACUUAAAGGCAAGGGUCAUACCCUUGAAAGGAGGCUUAAUUCAGAUGGUAAGGUGGAUGCCAUGCAGACCUUGCAUAAUAUCCAAGAAGGUAGGCACUCAUUGUUUGUCAUUCUCAUAUGAUUGAUAUUGGUGCAUUCUUUGGGAGUAAACAAAAGAUUUGGACUGUUAUGUCAUUAGAUGAGCUUGCUGGUUUUGAAGAAGCUUGGAAAGGAAGUGCUAGACAGUGUCUUCCUGGCUGGAGUGGGAGUUUCAGUGGCCAUGAUAGUAUCGGUGCUAGCAUUGGCGGACAGAAUGCACAGGCAAGCAGGGGAGGUUGGGCGCUUCCAUCCACCGAGCAUGCACAGCAUUUGAAUAGGACUGUAGCAGAUGCUAGAGACAGGGCAGGGUCUUCUGGGAUGCAGCACUCAGGAGGAAUGAAAGGUUAUUCGGACGUGAAAGGCAAGAAUGGAUAUUCUCGAGGGAGAACAAGAGAUUAAGGAGAUUCUUGAAGAAUGUAUGCAGCCUUCUUCGGGGGCUUAUCCACUUUAGUAGUCUGAGAAUGGGUCACAGGAAAUAUUAUUAGUAGCAUUUUGAUAAAUUUGGUUUUACCGUGACUGCAUUAGCACCGGCAGAUGAGGUGCUUAAUGUGUUGGUUCAAUAUAGUCUGCAGUUAUAUCCCAGGAGGAUUAUACCUGCCUACUUCUGAUACCGUUUUAACUCAUUAUAUUGAAUGCAUUCUACGCUAUCAUUUGGUUUUGUGUAGCAUUACUGGAAUAGUGAUUUUCAGGCUUUUUACCCAACAAUCUUAUGCGUUCCUCAUCAAAGCUGGAAGUGUUAAAGCGUUGAUCAUUUGGUUAAUGUUCUAUCUACAUCCUCUAAAAUGUUAAUAGGCUGUAGAAAGAUUAAUUCGAUUGAGGUGGAGUAACCUUUUAAGACUUGUUUGUUGUAAAGUUAAAUUUUCAAUAAAAAGUCAAUGGUCAAUAAAUGUAUAUGCAUAGAAUUUAUCAAAG